rnacentral:rRNA from 1 species
CCUGGUAUCGUGGGAUAACAUCUCGAAAGGGGUGCUAAUACCGGAUAAGCCCACGGGAUCUUCGGAUUCUGCGGGAAAAGGUGGCCUCUAUUUAUAAGCUACUGUAUCAGGAUGGGUCCGCGUACCAUUAGCUAGUUGGUGGGGUAAUGGCCUACCAAGGCUACGAUGGUUAGCUGGUCUGAGAGGAUGAUCAGCCACACUGGAACUGAGACACGGUCCAG